rnacentral:rRNA from 1 species
UGACGAGCGGCGGACGGGUGAGUAAUGUCUGGGAAACUGCCUGAUGGAGGGGGAUAACUACUGGAAACGGUAGCUAAUACCGCAUAAUGUCGCAAGACCAAAGUGGGGGACCUUCGGGCCUCAUGCCAUCAGAUGUGCCCAGAUGGGAUUAGCUAGUAGGUGGGGUAACGGCUCACCUAGGCGACGAUCCCUAGCUGGUCUGAGAGGAUGACCAGCCACACUGGAACUGAGACACGGUCCAGACUCCUACGGGAGG